UCAAACUUGGUCAUUUAGAGGAAGUAAAAGUCGUAACAAGGUCUCCGUUGGUGAACCAGCGGAGGGAUCAUUACCGAGUUUACAACUCCCAAACCCAAUGUGAACAUACCGGUCGUUGCUUCGGCGGUACCGCCCCGGCGCCCUCGGGCCCGGAGCCAGGCGCCCGCCGGAGGCCCGCAAACCCUUAGUGGAUACCGCACCGCGGUGGCGUCGUCUGAGUAUUUUGACAAAACGCAUCAAAACUUUCAACAACGGAUCUCUUGGUUCUGGCAUCGAUGAAGAACGCAGC
rnacentral:misc_RNA from 1 species